AACAGACAACCGCCACUGCAUGAACCACAUUUAAAUACAACUUUAUUCAGAUCUGCAGACUUUUAGUUUUUAUAUAUAUAUUUAUAUAUAUAUAUAUAUACAUGUAUAUUCUUGUUUUUGACAGUUAGUCACUAUUCUCUGCUGAGUGGACCGGUGUUGCCUUGCAGUCUCUAAGGCCAAAUAUCCACAUGUCCGUUGGCACUAGAUGGGUCAACAGUAAAGCUGCUGCAGUAACAACACAGUCCAUCCCACAGCAACAUGACUGUCUCUGAAACUUGGUCCAGCAGCCGGCCUGUAGCUGGCACUGGAGAGGUGGAGGAGUCUCAAUGAGAGUAUUGCUGUAAAUCUGGGGGGGAUUGGUAAGGAGCAGAGUAGGGGGCUUCUUUUCCACAGGUAGCCCAACAUGUGUCCUUGUUUCUGUUCGACAUGAGUUUAAUGCUGUUGGCUCCUGUUGCCCAGUUCUGAUCCCAACAUGUGUGAGUAUCCAACUUCUCUGUGGACACGCUGCAGGAGGUGGGAGGAGACGUGAAUCGAGGUUACUGGGGCGUUUCUGUGUCGGGCACUCGGUUGGCAUGCUCUUGAGGAGAAUUCAUGUCCUCGCAAUCCAAGGGCUUAUGCAAGACGCUUUGAACAGGAGAGAGGGAAAAAGCUAAACCAGCACAUCUUAAGACUGUGUCUGUGCACGCAUUUGUUUGAUGGGAUAUAGAUAUACAGAGAGAGAGAUAGAUAGAGAGGGAAGGGAGGGAGGGGUGUUUUCACAGCUGAUGUUCAGUUGGCUUGGCGUUAAGCUCACGGAGAUUAGCUAGCUUAGCUCAACGCUGUGUGCAGGAGGGCAGGCGGGGCAGCAAUGAAGAACUACCCACUGCAGGGUUCAACGCCAGGGUAUGGGGGCUAGAGAGGGUAUGGAGGCUGAGGCUGCAGCCGGAAGAGGGUCACACACACACAAGAAGAGGACAAGAUGGCUGAGCAACAUGCAGACGUCUGGAGCAGGAAGGGGCAGAGGUAUGGAGGUGGUGUUUCUGCCUAGCCGGGGAUGUAUCUGGGCGGACAAGGUCAGCGACCCGGUGAGGAGGACAGAUCAGUGGAAACCGCUCCAAACAAAUCCACAGUGCUUGUGUUCAGUCACUUACAACCGCUGUCUGUCAGACCUCAAGUCGCCAAACAGGCCCGAUACUCGAGCACCUCCGGAGUAUGAAAUCCACAAGGUCAUCCCAGAGGAGACGCCGACACAACCGGCUGCAUCAAACAGCCAUUCAACCUCCCAUGAAGAUUUCCACUGUUUCUUUUCUUUUAUUUUGUUUGGAGCCUGCUCAUUUCCUGGGCCCUGUGAUGAGCGAGCUGCUCAUCCCAGGGCUUUGGGGGUGGAUGGAUGUUUUCAAGUUCCCUCAUGUGAAUCCAGAGCAGAUUUCUCAUUAAAGGCUGCUCUUUAAUAAAUCUCCGAGCUACAUGAAAGAGGAGUGGAUGAGCCAAAUUUGAUUGUCAGGUUGUUGGACAGAGGCGGUUGAUGUUUACACAUCUGGUGGAGCAGGUCAGCGAGGAGCCCUCCUCCGGGUAAAAUAUACACGGAAAAGUUGUAGUGCUUGAUUUUUUUUUCUCCUGUUAAUUAGCUCAGUUAGAAAACAGAGGGCGGUGAUGAGAGGUUUUCUCCCUACUUACAGAUUUAACUCUGUUUUUAAUUAUAUCAGACACGAAGGUAAGAUUAGUUGUUAUGUGCAAACAGUCUAAACGUGGUUGAAAAGUGAAAUGUAGUAACUGCUGUUAUUACCUGGUGCGAUGAAAUAAAUAUGAACUGACUCGACUUCAUUCCUCAGGGAACGGACACGUUUGUCUCCUUUUUCUGUGAUGGAA